AGCAAGCUCAAUUAAAUUCUAUUGAAGUUAUAAAAGAAAAAUAAGAAAAUCAUAAAGAAAUAUAAAAGAAUAUUAAAGAAAAUUUAGUCAAAUCCUAACAAAAAUCUAAUAGAACCUUAAAUUCUAACCAAACUCCAAUCCUAAUCCAAACUUAAUUAAAUCCUAGACAAAUCCUAAAUCCUAAAACAAAUCCUAAUCAAACCUUAAUCAAACCUUACUCAAAUCCUAAACCUUAAAUCAAUCCCUAACCAAAUCCUAAAUCAAACCCUAAACCCUAAUCCAAAUCCUAAUCCAAACCUUAAAUCCUAAGUCAAAUCCUAAAUCUUAAAUCCUAAACCAAAUCCUAAACCAUAUCCUAACCCUAACAAAUCCUAAAUCCUAAAUCAAAUCCUAACCAAACCAUAAUCCUAAACCCUAAUCAAACCUUAACCCAAACCAAAUCCUAAUCACAGAUUUGAAAA
rnacentral:lncRNA from 1 species